GGUUAAGCGACUAAGCGUACACGGUGGAUGCCUAGGCAGUCAGAGGCGAUGAAGGACGUGCUAAUCUGCGAAAAGCGCCGGUAAGGUGAUAUGACCCGUUAUAGCCGGCGAUGUCCGAAUGGGGAAACCCGG
rnacentral:sRNA from 1 species